rnacentral:rRNA from 1 species
UACGGAGGGUGCAAGCGUUGUCCGGAAUCACUGGGCGUAAAGGGCGCGUAGGCGGCCUGGUAAGUAGGGGGUGAAAUCCUGCGGCUUAACCGCAGGGCUGCCUUCUAAACUGUCAGGCUUGAGCACGGUAGAGGCAGAUGGAAUUCCCGGUGUAGCGGUGGAAUGCGUAGAGAUCGGGAAGAACAUCAGUGGCGAAGGCGGCUGCCUGGCCCAAUACUGACACUCAGGUGCGACAGCGUGGGGAGCAAACAGG